ACCUGGGUGGCUCAGUGGUUGAGCAUCUGCCUUUGGCUCAGAUCAUGAUCCCAGGGUCCUGGGAUCAAGUCCCAAAUCAGGCU
rnacentral:tRNA from 1 species